rnacentral:sRNA from 1 species
AUUCAUAGCCUGGGUGCUCCAAAAGUGCUCUUAUUUGCCUGGUUUGAUCUUCACAUCACCUCGUGAAGCCGAGAAGUCACCUGUCACAGAGCGGCGUGAGUGACGCCGAGGCGCGCCAGCCGGGGAAGUCGCCCCCCUUCAGCAUGAACUGGGUCGUGGGCAGUGCGGACCUGGAGAUUAUCAACGCCACCACUGGGCGGAGGAGCUGUGGGGGCCCGUCCCGGCUCUGCAAGCACGUGCUGUCUGCACGGUGGGCGCGGCUGUAUGGCAGGCUGAGCACACGGACACCCAGCCCCGGAGACACGCCCUCCAUGUACUGUGAGGCCAAGCUGGGGGCGCACACCUACCAGUCUGUGAAACAGCAGCUGUUCAAGGCCUUUCAGAAGGCUGGCCUGGGCACCUGGGUGAGGAAACCACCGGAGCAGCAGCAGUUUCUACUGACUCUCUAGGCUGCGGGCUCCUGGCUGCUGGAGCUGAGCGGGACGUUGGAGGGAUGGGACCGUGUCUGGGGGGCGACGUGGCGGGUCGGCCGGUUCCCUGCAUUCGUUUUACUUUGGUUCCCAGAAACACGCGAGUGUGCAAUGUUUGGACGAGCAAC